rnacentral:rRNA from 1 species
UCCAGUUGAUCCUGCUGGCGGCUGCGGCUCUUUGGUUUGCGAUUAGCCAUGCAAGUUUUUGUUCUUAGAAAUAGGAGCAAGGCGAACUGCUCAGUAACACGUAGCUAACCUACCCUUAGGUCAGAAAUAUCCUCGGGAAACUGAGGUUAAAGUCUGAUAUGAGAUAUAUCCUGGAAUGAUUUAUCUCUGAAACUCGCGCCUAAGGAUGGGGCUGCGGCAGAUUAGAUAGUUGGCGGGAUAAAAGCCCACCAAGUCGAUGAUCUGUAAGGGCUCUUAGCGGAGAGGCCCUGAGAGGGAAUCUGAGACACUAUUCCCAGCCCUACGGGGUGCAGCAGGUAGGAAUCUUUUGCAAUGCGCGUAAGCGUGACAAAGUGAACCAAAGUGUUUUUCAAAAUAGAAAAGCUUUUGCCAAUUCUAAAAAGAUUGGCGAAUAAGGACUGGGUAAGACUAGUGCCAGCCGCCGCGGUAAUACUAGCGGUCCAAGUCGCAGCCAUUAUUAUUGGGUCUAAAACAUCCGUAGCUUGCUUGAAAAGUUUUUUGUGAAAUCUUGUAUCUCAAGUACAAGGCGAGCAAAAAAUACUAUCAAGCUAGAGACAGGAAGACGUAGGAAGUACGACUGAGGUAGUGGUAAAAUACUUUAAUCUUGGUCGGACUCACAAUAGCGAAGGCAUCCUACGAGGACUGUUCUGACAGUAAGGGAUGAAGGCUAGGGGCGCAAAACAGAUUAGAUACCUGUGUAGUCCUAGCAGUAAACACUGCACACUAAACAUCAGUACCUCUUCGAGAGGUAUUGGUGCUGAAGGGAAGCCGAAGAGUGUGCUACCUGGGAAGUAUAGUCGCAAGGCCGAAACUUAAAGGAAUUGGCGGGGAGACACUACAACGGGUGACGAGUGCGGUUCAAUUAGAUUAUACACCGUGAACCUCACCAGGAGCGACAGCAGAAUGAAGGUCAGUCUGAAGGGCUUACCUGACACGCUGAGAGGAGUUGCAUGGCCGACGUCAGCCUGUGCCGUGAGGUGACCUGUUAAAUCAGGUAACAGGCGAGACCCACGUGUAUAUUUACUACGUGUACAAUAUGCAGAUUGCCUUGGUAACAAGGAUGAAAGUUUGGGCUACGUUAGGUGAGUACAGCCCGAAUCCCCUGGGCCACACGCGCGCGUCAAUGCUGAAUACAACGAGAUGCGACUCCGAAAAGGGAAGCUAAUCUCCUAAAGUUCAGCUCAGUUCAGAUUGAGGUUUGCAACCCAGCCUCAUGACGAUGGAAUCCGUAGUAAUCGUUUGUUAUCAGCGAACGGUGAAUAUGUCACUGUCUCUUGCACACACUGCCCGUCAAACCAACCGAGUUAUGUUAGGGUGAAACUCGUUAGAGGAGAACUCUGAUAUGACAAGGUAGGUUAAGUCGACACAAGGU